GGCUCUUACGAGCGAAAGAUAUCGCGAGAUUUGAUCUCUACUUUAUAAUCGACGUGUAGCCUGACGGAUUCUUACAACUCACGUUCCGACGUAGUGGUGGAAUAAAAGUGAGUUAACCUGAAAAACGACAUCACUGCACCCAGACUAUGGAUUCCUUGAAGAGAAACAGCAGCUCAUUGAAACACCGGGGGUUCCCCUUGGAUUUUGAAGAACAAGCGCACAGGAAAGGCCCGAGACAAUGUCACAGAACUAGAGGAACUUUAUUUGGGAAAGUUACAAUAAUGGAGCAGCGAGUGCUGAGCAAAUGGAAGAACAAAUAUGUCUGUCAGGGACAAUGUUCUGACCUGCCCUUCCUAUGCCGACGCAUUGAGGCUGAACAAUUAGUCAUUGAUCUUAUGUUCUAUCUUCUAAAGUAGCUUUGAUGGAAACAGUUUCACUUUCUUGCUGGUUACAAGUAGUUUUUUUUUUAAAAAAAAAGGAAUGUCCACAAGAAAAAAAUAUGGUUUGCAUAAUAACAGAAACAUUGCAAAUUUUAUCAGACUUAAUUUGAGUUUUCUCUGAAAGAAACUCAAAUGACUCAAAGGCUACAAACAACUCCAAAUUUAUCCCUGGACCUCUCCAGUUGACUUAAACAGCAA